rnacentral:rRNA from 1 species
GACGAACGCUGGCGGCGUGCUUAACACAUGCAAGUCGAACGGAAAGGCCCUGCUUUUGUGGGGUGCUCGAGUGGCGAACGGGUGAGUAACACGUGAGUAACCUGCCCUUGGCUUUGGGAUAACUUCAGGAAACUGGGGCUAAUACCGGAUAGGAGCUCCUGCUGCAUGGUGGGGGUUGGAAAGUUUCGGCGGUUGGGGAUGGACUCGCGGCUUAUCAGCUUGUUGGUGUGGUAGUGGCUUACCAAGGCUUUGACGGGUAGCCGGCCUGAGAGGGUGACCGGCCACAUUGGGCCUGAGAUACGGCCCAGACUCCUACGGGAGGCAGCAGUGGAGAAUAUUGCACAAUGGGCGGAAGCCUGAUGCAGCAACGCCGCGUGCGGGAUGACGGCCUGCGGGUUGUAAACCGCUUUCGCCUGUGACGAAGCGUGAGUGACGGUAAUGGGUAAAGAAGCACCGGCUAACUACGUG